GGGACUAUAGUUAACAAUAACACUUGAGUUGCAUUCAAAAAGUGCUGCACACGCAGCUAGCCUCA
rnacentral:tRNA from 1 species